UAAGGAAUAUUGGACAAUGGAGGCAACUCUGAUCCAGCCAUGCCGCGUGAAGGAAUAAGGCCCUAUGGGUUGUAAACUUCUUUUAGACGGGACAAAACCCCUUUACGUGUAAAGGGUUGAUGGUACUGUCAGAAUAAGCACCGGCUAACUCCGUGCCAGCAGCCGCGGUAAUACGGAGGGUGCAAGCGUUAUCCGGAUUCACUGGGUUUAAAGGGUGCGUAGGUGGGCAGGUAAGUCAGUGGUGAAAUCUCUGGGCUUAACCCAGAAACUGCCGUUGAUACUAUCUGUCUUGAAUUAUCUGGAGGUAAGCGGAAUAUGUCAUGUAGCGGUGAAAUGCUAGAUAUGACAUAGAACACCAAUUGCGAAGGCAGCUUACUACAUAUAAAUUGACGCUGAGGCACGAAAGCGUGGGGAUCAAACA
rnacentral:rRNA from 1 species